rnacentral:rRNA from 1 species
UACGUAGGGGGCAAGCGUUGUCCGGAAUUAUUGGGCGUAAAGCGCGCGCAGGCGGCUUUGUAAGCCCAGUGUUUAAGCUCGGAGCUCAACUCCGAUACGCACUGGGAACUGCGAGGCUUGAGUGCAGAAGAGGAAAGUGGAAUUCCACGUGUAGCGGUGAAAUGCGUAGAGAUGUGGAGGAACACCAGUGGCGAAGGCGACGUUUCUGGGCUGUAACUGACGCUGAGGCGCGAAAGGCGUGGGGAGCAAACAGG